rnacentral:misc_RNA from 1 species
CCCUGCACGACGCCGUUGACGUCUCCUGCCGCCUCGAACUUGCGGUCCACGAGAAGGCGCCUAGCCCGUCGCCGCUUUCAUGAGCACGGCAAUGGCAGGUUUUUCGAGAGCAGCCGAGGACUAUCCAGCGCUCACCACCCGCGCCGUCUUGGACGCCUACGCACAAUACAUCGUUGCGGGCUCUCAUUCCAGUGAUGCCCUACGCCCGGAUGGCGUGGGCGGUGCCGAGGCGCAUGAUGUGCCCAAGAGCGUCGAGGAGGCGCUGGCGCCGCUUGAGAUUCUCUAUGGGAAAACGGCGCUGUCAGCCAUUGGCAUCGCGUUGCACGGGGCCGAGCCCGUCAUACGAUAUGUGGAGCGUGCUGAGGCGGACUUUGCCGACGACGACGAGUCGCCGAAGAUGGCGGGCGAUGACGUCGAGUGCGUGCACCGUGAAGCUCAGCGUGCGAAGCGCUCCGGUGCUGUCGCCGUGUCGUCCACCGCUCGCUCAAACGCUGUCUCCCAGCAGGAAGAUCAGGAGAGCGCAGCUGCAGUCUCCUCACUGGUGGCCGUGCAGCGGGCACGCUGUCUCUACCAGAUCGGCGAGCACACACUCUUCUCUCCCUACUACUGCCCCUGCUCUGCGUACGCGUACCAGUCGAUUCAGCGGCAGGAGGUGUGGUGCUGCAAGCACAUGCUGGCGCUGCAGCUCGCCUUGCGCAUCGAGGCCACCGGAGUGGUGCAGGACAACCUUUCUGUGCGCAUCGUCAGCCCUGCCGAGUACGAGCAGCUGCUGCUGCACUCCCUCUGAAUCAACGGAGCAGACCCGGUGGACGAGACGAGUGCGUGAUGCUCUCGGCAAGUGUUGGUUCGCCGAUGAUGUCUGCUCGCUGCCGUGACGUCCGUGUAAACUGCCACAAGGCUGCUUCUCUCUUUGUUUCUGUUGUGGGGGGGGGGGGGUUCACUGCCGCUGCUGCUCUUGCUUGCCUUGUCUUCUCCCCGACUUUUUCUCUGGCGCCCGUGAAAUUGGAGGGGGUGAACGAGCGAAGCGAAAAAACGAAGGCAGGACUGUGUCUCCUCCUUCCCUUCACCCCGCCUUUCGCCUUGCAGAUCGAGGGACUGGCGGAGGCGCCUCAGCAUCACGCCCGGAGUGGCGAUUUGGCAGCGGUGUCGAAAGAAGAGGGAGGAGGGAGAAGACAGCGCGAUGCAGCCAAAAGGUGCAUAACGUCGGCGGCGAGUGUCAGCAUCUCCACCGCUGCUAUUCUUGCUCUUCCAAAAGCACGGGAGUAGCCCCACACACGUGCACACGUUUGUCCACGGACUUCCCAUCGCUCUCUGUGGCACACACUUUCUCCUCCCCCUCCCUCCUUCUCUCUCUAUCUCUCUCGAUGGCUACACAAUGAUGGCGCGACGAGUGCGCACUGAAUCCUUGGUGAAAACGGCCUCUCCUCUGCUCUGCUCUGCCUCACGCGCUGGACGAGCGACGGAACGAAACACCCACCCACCCACACACGCACUUUCAUGUGCUUACCUAAUGACUAUCGCACAG